CUGUGACCUGUGGGCACACUUUGUCGGUGAUUGCCCGGAGGGCGACGGGGACAUAGGUACCACACUGGAGCCGAGCGGGCAAACCACUUUUGCCCCUGGGUCAGGGAGAGAGACUCCCUCAAAGAAGGAUGUGUAGGAUGAAGGACUUUGGAAGCAUCGGGAAUUCCACCCAACCAGGCAUCCUAGCAAACUGCAGAAAGGUGAGGUUUUCCCGGAAGGAAAUGCCCAUCUCUGGACUCCCAUUCAUCCCUUCCCUUGCCCUGGACUCCCAUCCAUCCCCUUACCUUGCCCACUUUCCUCUUCCUAGGACACAGGAGGACCAUUGAAUUAUGUAAAUAAAAUUCUGCUUUUUCUAUUCUGAAAAAGGAGUCAUCUAGGACUUUGGCAAAUAAUCUCUAUUUACCUAGAAAUUAAGGAAUUGGGGUAUUCUGUUCUGGCAACAGGAAAUUUACCCUUUCACUGAAAUCCAACAUCCACAGUGCUCUGCGGAAACCUCUCCCCCUUACAGAUCGCUCUGCAGCAGCUGAAGGGUGAAGAAGCUGAGGAGGGAACUGCAGCCCUAGGAAUCAGGGUUCCCAGGGCCCCUGGGCUGGGAGGAGCUGGCUCUGAUGUGCAUGAAGAACACAAUAGCUCAAGCUCUGGCGCUGAGCAUGCAGAACCGAACCUGUCCCUUCACUGACUUCACCUGGGCCUAGAGAACAAAGUGCUCAGGUCGCAGGCAGAGACUUGGGACUGCUCAGCAACAGUCCAGAUUUAGGGGACUUCUGAGGAACUCCUGGGGGAGGGGGCACUGCAGCCCCAAACUGUCUUUUCUGGCUAUACCUGUUUAACUUCAGUUCCUUCUUUUCCUGUCAAUAUGUCGGUACCCUCUGCUUUUUGGUGUUGCGUCCAUAAUGUCUCGUGUUCCAUGUGUCCACUUGUGUAGUAGUGUGUGAGCCCUCAGGGGCAGGGUUGUGGCUCUAGUGUUAGGUUCAGGGGCUUCAGACCCGUCUGCGAGCCCCAGGCUAUCAUGGCGCUUUCUGCUCUUUUCCCCUUUGCCCCACUCCUCAACCAGGGCAUGGAGCAUGUGGCUGUCCUGAGGUUCCCUUAACUGAUGUGCCUCCCUCCUACCUUCUGAAGUGGUGACAGUGUGUGCCCCUCCCCGCUUCUUUGUGUAUCCUUUCUCAAUGCUUUGCUUAAUGUCAACCUUAAUAAAAAGGCAUCAUCCC